AUCUUGGCAAAUACGACAACUAAAUUUCAAUGAACUUGCAGAUUAUAAUCUAUUUAAAUCUGACUUUCUCAUUAAACUUCACAAUUCAUCUUUCUUCUAUUUAAAUCUUACACCAUCUCAAAGAACUUUUUCAUUUUCUUUGUUGUAAAGGAAAGGCGGGGAGGAGUAAUCAGGGAGACUAUACUUUGUUGCUCUAUUGAGUAAUACUAAAAUUCCCACGUCUGCCACGAAGUGUUGUGAUUUAAAAUUGCAAGAAGGUCGUCAUCCAAUACCACUCACAACCCAGUUAUCUUGGACUUUUGGAUGAGAAAUGUGAGGACUGUGGAAAGACUGUCAAUGGUGGAGGAUGUAAGAAGCAUGGACUAUUAUGUUUCCCUUGUCUCUAAUUUCUCCUUGGAUGAGAAACAUGAGGAACAUGGAAAGAUUAUCAAGUGGUCUACCUCUCCUCUCUCAAACAGCUAUCUUUUGUAGGUUUUAUUGGUACUUGCCAGAGGAUGGCUUUGCUCCCUACUCCGAGUAUUCAGGAUAGUGCGUUGUGAAAUUCUGAAAGAUCUAUGCUCAAAACUCAAUAGUGGUGACUGUUGGCACCCCAUCCAAGAAAUCCCACUCGUUGUGGUUGAUUGAGUUAAGAUUCAAUAAGAAGAUUUCUCUGCAAUGUCUAAUUUUUAUUCUUCAGAAUAUCUCGCUGUCUUCUUUAUUUGGCAAACUCUCUCAGAAGGAUCAAAUGCAAACACUGUUGAGGUAGGCAAAUGAUGUGCUUAUGUUCAUCUUUUGCAACUUGA